GCAGCGACACUAUGUGUUGUUGGGUAGGGGAGCGUUCUGUAAGCCUGCGAAGGUGACCUGUGAGGGUUGCUGGAGGUAUCAGAAGUGCGAAUGCUGACAUAAGUAACGAUAAAGCGGGUGAAAAGCCCGCUCGCCGGAAGACCAAGGGUUCCUGUCCAACGUUAAUCGGGGCAGGGUGAGUCGACCCCUAAGGCGAGGCCGAAAGGCGUAGUCGAUGGGAAACAGGUUAAUAUUCCUGUACUUGGUGUUACUGCGAAGGGGGGACGGAGAAGGCUAUGUUAGCCGGGCGACGGUUGUCCCGGUUUAAGCAUGUAGGCUGGUUGUCCAGGCAAAUCCGGAUAAUCAAGGCUGAGGUGUGAUGACGAGGCACUACGGUGCUGAAGUAACAAAUGCCCUGCUUCCAGGAAAAGCCUCUAAGCAUCAGGUAACAUCAAAUCGUACCCCAAACCGACACAGGUGGUCAGGUAGAGAAUACCAAGGCGCUUGA
rnacentral:rRNA from 1 species